rnacentral:rRNA from 1 species
GAUGAACGCUGGCGGCGUGCCUAAUACAUGCAAGUCGAGCGAACAGACGAGGAGCUUGCUCCUCUGACGUUAGCGGCGGACGGGUGAGUAACACGUGGAUAACCUACCUAUAAGACUGGGAUAACUUCGGGAAACCGGAGCUAAUACCGGAUAAUAUUUUGAACCGCAUGGUUCAAUAGUGAAAGACGGUUUUGCUGUCACUUAUAGAUGGAUCCGCGCUGCAUUAGCUAGUUGGUAAGGUAACGGCUUACCAAGGCAACGAUGCGUAGCCGACCUGAGAGGGUGAUCGGCCACACUGGAACUGAGACACGGUCCAGACUCCUACGGGAGGCAGCAGUAGGGAAUCUUCCGCAAUGGGCGAAAGCCUGACGGAGCAACGCCGCGUGAGUGAUGAAGGUCUUCGGAUCGUAAAACUCUGUUAUUAGGGAAGAACAAAUGUGUAAGUAACUGUGCACAUCUUGACGGUACCUAAUCAGAAAGCCACGGCUAACUACGUG